UGUCCGGUACAGCCACUGAAAUUCAGCAGAAAAGCCAUCAAACAGGAAGUGAAGUAAUAUCUCAGCAAAUCUUUCAGAUAUCAACACCAAACUUGGUAUGCACGUGGAAGACACUACAACAUGUUCCCCAUGUGCAAAGGCAACUUCAUAUCUUCAUAAAAUGAUUGAUAUAAAGCAUUUAUAUUGCAGUGUAAAAAUGUGGACACUACUCGCCCUAUACGGGCGCCAUCUUGGCUACGUCGCGAAAGAGGAGGAGCCAUUUUAACAGGUUUUCAAUUCAUUUCUAAAACAAUGGCGGACGAGAUGGCUACGGUGGCUAGCAAUAGCUCACGAGGCUACAGACCGUAAAUGCCAAAGAAAAGGACUCACUCUUAAGACUUUUCCAAACAACACUUUGAACAGGUUUCCCCAUCUCCUCCCAUACCAUGGGCCAGAGGAGCAUGACCACCUGGGUGAGGAGUUUCUGAAUUAUCAGACCAUGCCAACCACCUCCCUUCAGGACGAAACUGAGAUGGAAAGCUUCUGGGCUGGAAUGGCAACACGGAAACAUAAGGUGGCAGGAACUAAAGAAUUUGAGAGGCUUGUUGCCGUCGCCAAGCUGGUCCUGGUGUUGCCCCAUUCGAAUGCAGAUGCUGAGAGGGUGUUUUCAGUGUUCAGUGGACUGAACAAAACUAAGACCAGAAAUAGCCUGGCAUUGGAUGGCACCCUGUCUCAAUAAUGGCCAUAAAGAUGGCCGACCUGGAGCCCUGUUUCAGAUGGGAGCCCCCCUCAGAGGUCAUCAAGGCCUCCAAGAAGGCCACAGCGCAGUAACAACCUUGCCCACAGAUCUUAGAAAAUGACUAACCAGGUUCUGAUCUGCACCUGAUACCUCAUUUUUAGUUAUUUUUGUCAUGUGUUGAUCUAUUUUAUUGCUUAAAAGGCUACUGUUUAAGCACUUUAUU
rnacentral:lncRNA from 1 species